rnacentral:miRNA from 1 species
UGGCUCUGUGAGGUCGGCUCAA